GGGAAACAAUGAGAGGAGGCAGCAAAUGUCAAAGCUUCCUCAUGGUCACCGGGAGAGGGUGCACUAAAAUCUUACAGGUCAUCCUGGAAGAAGGCAAAAAUUAGUAGUAAGGAGAUGAGGCUGCCACAGCUCCCUACAUGCACACAGACACACGUGUGUACAAGCAUGCAUGUAGAGGUAGCACGGGACCUCUUUUUUUUUUCUUUUCUUUUUGAUACCAGAAAUCGAACUCAGGACCUUGUACUUGCAAGGCAGGCACUGGAACCACUGAGCUAAAUCUCUGGCCCUCGCCUGCCUUCUCUGCACAAUCAAAAUGGACCCCUCUUCAGAGCUGUGACCAUGACUACAACUGGGAAAUGAUGUUUCCCCACUUUGUGCCAUGUGUUUAUUCAUUUCCAACAAAUGUGCACUGAGCAUCUCAGUUCCAGAACCUGAGCUGGACACCAUGCUGUACACAAGACACACAGUCCUUGCCUUUCGGGACUUCCAGACUUCAUGUCAUUCAACACUUCAUGGCCAUGGUCAGAUAAUUAAGCCAGCAUUAGCGGAUGUAACCAAAUAACCACAUGAAUCUAGCCUCAGCCUCAGCUGCAGUAGGAGCUGAGUCAGAUGGUGGAAGUAAGCUGUGUAACAGGGUCACACCCGGUCCAGAAAGUGAGUGAGACUUCCCUGAGGAAGUGGUAGCUGAGCUGACUGCGAAAAACAAGAAGUUCCACAGGGAAAGACCCCUCAUGUUGACUCCAUCACUGAGAAAUACCUCGGCUUGUCUCCUUCACCCUCUCCCCAUCCAGUCCUCCAGUGUGGACAUGGCUGUUCUGGCCUCCUGGGAUGCAGCUCUGACCAUGUCAUCGCCCCACAGAGAACCACCCUGGGCCCUCUGCAGCUCAUGGGUGUGCCUCAGACUUGGACGUCUCCCUGCCACGACACCCACAUGCACGCCUCCGACACCAUCGAGGUUGCCAGCUAUCAUAGUUAGGACGCUGAGAUCCCUGAGACCAUCUUCUGUGCUUUUUCACUGGAGGAUUCUAAAAAAUGGAAGGCUGGUGAUCCAUGUUGACACUGUGUUGGGGUACUACCUCUGAGGUUGGGACCUACCAGACUCAAACACCAAGAGGGCGAGAAGCCACAUAGGCACGUGCUCAGCAGCACUCCAUAGCUGGCGGCACUCUGGCUGGCGCGUGCGUGCGUGGGACUUGCUCACACAUGGGAGUUGGCCACAGUGCUCCAGAGAUGUCUUUGCCCAGCCUGUCUCCCUGGUCUCUCCAAGUAGUUCCCAGACUCCACCCAAAGGUGCUUCAAGGGAAAGUGCUCCUUCCCUCUUCAGCCCAAAGCUGCUACACAGUUAACAGAGCCCAGUACAAAAUGGAAAGGUGCCUGAGAAACAGUUAAGGAAUGCUGCACAAGAGCAGCUCAGCCGUCUGCACUUCGCUUGUUGGAACACACACCCUGCCGCACUCUUUGGCUGCUGCUCCGUAAGGAAGGUCUCGGGAAAAGGCACUGUUAUGGCCCCAUACUUCCCUUUCCUUCUCUGUCACCAGCUCCAACCUAACUUGUUGACUGAUGUGAGGAAGUAACUGAGGUCCACAAACUUGGCUCAAAACAGCACAGGUGCAGUAUCUUACAGUUCUGCGGGCCAGAGUUUAGCAUGGGUUCCAUGGGGCCCAAAGCCAGACGCCAGAGGGAUGGCUCCUUCCGGAAGCUCUGGAGAGAAUCUGCGUCUCUGCUGAGGCCCGUUCCUCGAGGCCCCUUGUGCUCCUGGACCCAGGCCCCUCCUGCCGUCAAGGCCAGACCUGCUUCCACCGUCACGUCUUCCCUGGCUCUCUUCUACCUCCCUCCUCUGCAUUUAAGGACCCAUGUGGCUCCGUUACGCUCACUAUGAUAAAGCAAAAUGAUAUCCCCGCCUCAAGAUCCUUGGCCUCAUCACGAACCUACCAAGACCCUUCUGCCAUGGAAAGUUACAGUCACGGGUUCCGGGGAUGAGGAAGUAGACAUUUUGGGGGUCGUUCUGCCUAUCCCAGAUGGGGAUGACAACCUCAUAUCCCCCUUUUUAAAAAAGAUGAAAUGCUUCACGAAUUUGGGUGUCAUCCUUGCGCAGGGGCCAUGCUAAUCUUCUGUGUACUGUUCCAAUUUUAGUAUAUGUGCUGCUGAAGCGAGCACACCUCAUAG
ensembl:lncRNA